rnacentral:rRNA from 1 species
CGGAUCAGGUAGGGAUACCCGCUGAACUUAAGCAUAUCAAUAA